rnacentral:rRNA from 1 species
AUUGAACGCUGGCGGCAGGCCUAACACAUGCAAGUCGAACGAGUGGCGUACGGGUAAGUAAUGCCUGGGAAACUGCCUGAUGGAGGGGGAUAACUACUGGAAACGGUAGCUAAUACCGCAUACCAUCGGAUGUGCCCAGAUGGGAUUAGCUAGUAGGUGGGGUAAAGGCUCACCUAGGCGACGAUCCCUAGCUGGUCUGAGAGGAUGACCAGCCAGACUAGAAAUGAGACACGGUCCAGAAUCCUACGGGAUGCAGCAGUGGGGAAUAUUGCACAAUGGGCGCAAGCCUGAUGCAGCCGUGCCGCGUGUAUGAAGAAGGCCGUCGGUGUGUAAAGUACUUGCAGCGGGGAGGCGUUACCCGCAGAGGAAGCCCCGGCGAACACCGUGCCAGCAGCCGCGGUAAUUC